GGAUUUGGCGGGGCCUUUGUCUCUAGCUGCUGCGGGAGCUCCAGGUCUAGUUUUUACUGCUCUGUGUAUUCUGCUCCUAGAGGCCCAGCCUCUGUGGCUCCGUUACCUACAGGUAUUGGGAGAUGCACAGCUAAGAUGUCAGGACCACCUGGAAGCCUAGAAAUGGGACCAUUGACAUUUAGGGAUGUGGCCAUAGAAUUCUCUCUGGAGGAGUGGCAAUGCCUGGACACUGCACAACGGAAUUUAUAUAGGAAAGUGAUGUUUGAGAACUACAGAAACCUGGUCUUCCUGGGUAUUGCUGUCUCUAAGCCUCACCUGAUAACCUGUUUGGAGCGAGGAAAAGAGCCCUGGAAUAGGAAGAGACAGGAGAUGGUAGCCAAACCCCCAGUUAUAUAUUCUCAUUUCACUGAAGACCUUUGGCCAGAGCACAGCAUAAAAGAUUCUUUUCAAAAAGUGAUACUGAGAGGAUACGGAAAAUGUGGACAUGAGAAUUUACAAUUAAGAAUAAGCUGUAAAAGUGUGGAUGAGUCUAAGGUGUUCAAAGAAGGUUAUAAUGAACUUAACCAAUGUUUGACAACUACCCAGAGCAAAAUAUUUCAAUGUGAUAAAUACGUGAAAGUCUUUCAUAAAUUUUCAAAUUCAAACAGUCAUAAGAAAAGAAAUACUGGAAAGAAGUUUUUCAAAUGUAAAGAAUGUGGCAAAUCAUUUUGCAUGCUUUCACAUCUAACACAACAUAUAAGAAUUCACACUAGAGAGAAUUCCUACAAAUGUGAGGAAUGUGGCAAAGUUCUUAACUGGUUCUCAGAGCUUAUUAAACAUAAGAAAAUUCAUAUGGGAGAGAAACCGUACAAAUGUGACGAAUGUGGCAAAGCCUUUAACCAAUCCUCAACCCUUAUUAAACAUAAGAAAAUUCAUAUUGAAGAGAAACCCUUCAAAUGUGAAGAAUGUGGCAAAGCCUUUAGUUUAUUCUCAAUCCUUAGUAAACAUAAGAUAAUUCAUACUGGAGACAAACCUUACAAAUGUGAUGAAUGUCACAAAGCCUUUAACUGGUUUGCAACCCUUACUAACCAUAAGAGAAUUCAUACUGGAGAGAAACCCUUCAAAUGUGAAGAAUGUGGCAAAGAUUUUAACCAGUUUUCAAACCUUACUAAACAUAAGAAAAUUCAUACUGGAGAGAAACCCUACAAAUGUGAAGAAUGUGGCAAAGCUUUUAACCAGUUUGCAAACCUUACUAGACAUAAGAAAAUUCAUACUGGAGAGAAAUCCUACAAAUGUGAAGAAUGCGGCAAAGCUUUUAUACAGUCCUCAAACCUUACUGAACAUAUGAGAAUUCAUACUGGAGAGAAACCCUACAAAUGUGAAGAAUGUGGCAAAGCUUUUAAUGGAUGCUCCAGCCUUACUCGACAUAAGAGAAUUCAUACUAGAGAGAAUACCUACAAAUGUGAAGAAUGUGGCAAAGGCUUUACUUUAUUUUCAACCCUUACUAACCAUAAGGUAAUCCAUACUGGAGAGAAAUCCUACAAAUGUGAUGAAUGUGGCAAUGUUUUUAACUGGCCUGCAACUCUUGCUAAUCAUAAGAGAAUUCAUGCUAGAGAGAAACCCUACAAAUGUGAAGAAUGUGGCAAAGCUUUUAACAGGUCCUCGCACCUUACUAGACAUAAGAAAAUUCAUACUGGUGAGAAACUCUACAAACCUGAAAGAUGUGACAAUAAUUUUGACAACACCUAAAACUUUUCUAAACAUAAAAGACACCAUCCUGUUGAGAAACCCUAAAAAUGUGAAGAAUUUGACAAAGCCUUCCAAUGAUUGUUACACUUGCUUGUAGAGAAACGCGAAGCAGUUGCUCAAACUUUGUUCAACAUCAGGGAAUUUAUAUUGGAGAAAAAUCCUGCAAAUGUAAUGAAUUUGGAAAAACAUUUUUUUUCAAAAACUACGGUGUCGAAAACAUGAGUUUAUAUUGAAAUGUGUUUUUGCAGAUGCAAGGAAGAAACAGAGCCACUGAGAGAAAUGACUUGCUCACAACAGCAGAGCCAAUAUUAAACCACAGGCAACUUUGUCUGCACAGAGGAAGUGGCUGUCCUGCCAGGAAACUGCUAUUCUCAGCUUUACCCACAUUGACUAGUAGUGAGUGGAAGUGAUGUGUGGAUAAGAAGCAAAUAUGUCUUCUCCGCAUCUUGUUUUCAUCCAUUGGCUAAAGAAAAAGGAGGAUGCAGAUAGAAAAUGAAAGAAGAUACAAUCCCUGAAAGAUUAAGUCUUCUUAAGCAGACAAAAGACUCACAGAUGGCCAGGUGCAGUGGCUCACACCUGUAAUCCCAUCACUUUGUGAGGCAAGGUGGGCGGAUCGCCUGAGGUCAGGAGUUCGAGACCAGCCUGACCAACAUGGUGAAACCCCAUCUCUACUAAAAAUACAAAAAUUAGCUGGGUGUGGUAGCAUGUGCCUAUAAUGCUAGCUACUCAGGAGGCCGAGGCAGGAGAAUCGCUUAAACCCAGGAGGCAGAGGUUACAGUGAGCCGAGAUCGCGCCGUUGCACUCCAGCCUGGGCGACAGGUGAAACUCCUUCUCAAAAAAAAAAAGCCUUCCAGUUGAUUUCUUAGGUAAUAGCAGAAUCUGUUUUUUCUGUAGCAUAAGAAUUCUUGAUUUACCACCUUUAGAGGUACUGAACAAAACUGUAUAUGUGUUCUGAAAUCUGGAUUUAUUUAUAAGCUCAUUAGAGACUAAGUCAUGGCAACACAUUAUAGUUCAUUAUUUUCGUCUAAAUUCUUGUUGAGCCGCAUCCAUCUAUAUAUAAUACUAAGUUGCUAACAGCUUCUUUAUACCAAGCCACAACUCAUUUUACCUGGUGGUUUCAUUUGAAAUGUAUGAGCUGUAUUAUAUAACAUUCAAAUAAGUAAUAAUUUAAUUCAAAGACUAUGGAAAGAAGAGUCAUACAGGCACACUGAUAGUGAAUUGGAAUCUGGCACCUGACACUGAUUAACAGGUUGAACAGAUUCAACUAGACCUAGUGCCACUGCACUCCAGCCUGGGAGACAGAGCGAGACUCCAUCUCAAAAAAAAAAAAAAGUUCACAGACUGUGGGGAUGUGAGCAAAAAAUAUAUUAUUCUAAGCAUCUGAAAUUUUAGUGUACAACCUGCAUUGCCUUAACAGAUAUAUUAUUCAGUUUUGAUUCUUCAGGAUAUGAUUCAAUCCUCUGGUGAAUCAAAACUGAGAGGAGAAUAACUUAUUUGUUAAGGUAGGAAAUGUAGGGAAGACACUUUUUUUCCUCCAAAUUCCUGGUUUAAUAAGGACUUGUUUAUUUUGAGAAAAAUAGGUCCCAAACAUCAGGCUGUUAAAAUAACCCACAGUAUCAACCUUAAAAAGCAAAUCUUAAGACUAUAACACUGUUUUUCUAGAGGAUGCAUUUAACAUGGCAACUCAUUCACAAAAAUACAUUGUUAUAUUUGUGUUGAACUGCCCCACAAAUCACACCUAUGUGGGGGUGUAACACACAUACUUCUAACUCAGCUGCUUUUAGGAGCUAUGCAACUAAAUUAGAUUGCUUUUGCAGUUAGGGAGGCAACUACUGAAAUUAUGUAUGAUGAAAAAAACUACUUUCUGCAUAAUGAGAUAAUUUUGGAGACAGUUGAUAAAAACCGAACAUCCGGCUGGGCACGGUGGCUCAUGCCUGUAAUCCAAGCACUUUGAGAGGCCGAGGCGGGUGGAUCACGAGGUCAGAAGUUCAAGACCAGCCUGGCCAACAUGGUGAAACACCAUCUCUACUAAAAAUACAAAAAUAAAUAAAAUUACCCGGGCGUGGUGGCACGUGCCUGCAAUCCUAGCUACUCCGGAGGCUGAGGCAGGAGAAUUGCUCAGUCCGGGAAGUGGAGGUUGCAGUGAAGCAAGAUUGCACCACUGCACUCCAGCCUGGGCAACAGAGCAAGACUCCAUCUCAGAAAAAAAAAAAAAAAAGAAAUACAUCCUUUUUAUUGUUAAGUCAUAAAGAGGUUUCAAAAUUAAAAGCAAAAACUACAGGGUAAGACUUAACAAAACUACUAGGAGUGUCAAAGGAGGUGAAAUGGGACCUAGGUGCAGGGCAAUAUGAAUUAACAUGGGAAAGACAAGGACAAUGAGCAUGUGCUGAAGAUACUAGAGGAGAAGAUCUGGUAAAAAAAUUUGAUCUUAGAGAAGCACCUAGGUAAACAAAUAUUGGGAUAAGAUUUCUAACCCCCACUAUGUGCUUAAGAGUCAUUUUUGCCAUUGGCACUGUCUCUGUCAUCCUCUCCUUCCUCAGCCUCUUUUUCAUCCUUGGUCAACUCCAGCUGGCCAUCCCCCACCUUCAUUAUCAUCAUCAUCCAGUAGAUCCCCCUCCUCAGCAGAGUCAUCUGUGCCCCCCUCAGACUUCACAUUAAUCUCAUUUUUCUUCACUGAGCUCCUGCUCUAUUCCUCUUCUCACUUACCAUUCUUCAUCUCUACUGCUUGUUUGCUCUGUUCCUUUUAAAUUUUUCCAGGUUUUCCAGGGGUGACUCCACUUUUUGUUUUAUCUGGGUCAGUUCCUUCUUAAUGGCCUAAAGGUCAUCUCCUUUCAACUUUCCAGACUUGGAAGAUCCCUGCUGUCCACUCUUAGAAUUGAAGCCACUUUUGCCCCUUCAUGAGGUGUUUUCUGAUACAUGCUGACGUUUCGAGGGCACUACAGCCUAAGCAAUAGGAGGAAGAGGAGGAGGAAAAUGUGCUGGGCAACUGUACAUCCUUUCACAAUAAUCCCGUUGAAAGUCAUAGUCCAAGUCAAGAGAGGAGCUGAAUAGAGGCGAUGGAGAAGGGUGUUCUGUUACUGACCCCAUACAUCGCUGCAGAUCAUUUCACACCUGCUUUUCCUC